CCGGGGACUCCAGCAUCUCAGUCAUCGCGUCACCAAGCCCCAGGGAAUAUGGAAAGACUACAUUUCUCAACCUUCCUAGUAGAUGUGAUGUCACCAGUCGGAAUUGGGCAGAAGAAUGUAUCACUUCAGUCCAAGGCAAUUAAGUGGUCAAACCGUAAGAGACUGGCAGCUUUCAUACUGUUGGAUGCAUGUUUUGGGAUGCCUCCCUCUCGGAAUCUAGCCACCAUGUUCUGAGAAACCUAAGCCAUGUGAAGGGGCCACAUGUAGGUGCUUUGGUUUGCAGCUCCGACCCUCUAGCCAAUAGAUGGCAUCUCCUGCCAGCCAAAUGAGUGAGCCAUCAACAGUAACCCGCCCAGCUGAGUCUUCAGCAACAGCAAUUUAUUUAUGGAUUACCUACUCAGUUGGUGCCAAGCCUGGUUCUAGAUGCUGAAGACAGAGCCUAGAUCAAGAUUGACUUGGUCCUGGCUUUCCUGAAGUUCCCAGCCUGGUAGAAGAGACAUAAUAAAC
rnacentral:lncRNA from 1 species